UCUAUCCUUCCCUACAGGUUGGCACCUGCAGAGUUUUGAGUUGGAAGAGCAACUGCAGGAGUUCGUAGAUGAGAGUUUCAUCCGACCUAGUCACUCUCCUUGGGGUGUUCUAGUGCCGGUUUUUGUGGAAAAGAAGGAUGGAUCCUUGCGGAUCAGAAGAGAAGAUCAAAGUAGCGCAGUGGAAGCAGGAGGAGUUUUAGGAGAAAGUUUAGAGGUCUUGCUUGCUUGAUUGCUUGCUUGAUGUGUAUGUACGAUGAUAUGUUCUUAUGUUAUGUUUUUAUGCAUGAGUAGUUGAGGAACAUUCGGGGACGAAUGUUCUGUAAGGGGGGAAGAAUGUAAUACCCGGCUAGAAUCNNN
rnacentral:lncRNA from 1 species